rnacentral:rRNA from 1 species
AAAUUGAAGAGUUUGAUCAUGGCUCAGAUUGAACGCUGGCGGCAGGCCUAACACAUGCAAGUCGAACGGUAACAGGAAGCAGCUUGCUGCUUCGCUGACGAGUGGCGGACGGGUGAGUAAUAUCUGGGAAACUGCCUGAUGGAGGGGGAUAACUACUGGAAACGGUGGCUAAUACCGCAUAACGUCGCAAGACCAAAGAGGGGGACCUUCGGGCCUCUUGCCAUCAGAUGUGCCCAGAUGGGAUUAGCUUGUUGGUGAGGUAACGGCUCACCAAGGCGACGAUCCCUAGCUGGUCUGAGAGGAUGACCAGCCACACUGGAACUGAGACACGGUCCAGACUCCUACGGGAGGCAGCAGUGGGGAAUAUUGCACAAUGGGCGCAAGCCUGAUGCAGCCAUGCCGCGUGUAUGAAGAAGGCCUUAGGGUUGUAAAGUACUUUCAGC